AUAGGCGUAGCUUAUCAAUGUGUGUUUCACUUAGCUAUUUUGACCCUCAGGGGCGGCACGUAAAAACUUAUGAGGUGUCUCUCCGAGAAAAGGAAUUCAAUAAGGGCCCUUGGAAACAGGAAAAUGUCGAAGCUGAAGCUUCCAUGGUGAUCGCAGUCCCAGAGCCCUUUGGGGGGGCCAUCAUCAUUGGACAGGAGUCAAUCACCUAUCACAAUGGUGACAAAUACCUGGCUAUUGCCCCUCCUAUCAUCAAGAAUGACAACGUAUCAGUAAACAUGUAAGAUAUAUUGAUGGAGCUCCUCAGAAAAUUAUCUUCAAAAUAAAAAAGCUUCCCAUUUUCUAUUAAUGGGGAAUAGGUUCUAUCCUCAUUUUCAUGUAAUGUUAUCUGAGCGAUUUGUCUGCUGCAAAGCACGAUUGUGUGCCACAAUCGAGUGGACCCUAAUGGCUCAAGAUACCUGCUGGGAGACAUGGAAGGCCGGCUCUUCAUGCUGCUUUUGGAGAAGGAGGAACAGAUGGAUGGCACCGUCACUCUCAAGGAUCUCCGUGUAGAACUCCUUGGAGAGACCUCUAUUGCUGAGUGCUUGACAUACCUUGAUAAUGGUGUUGUGUUUGUCGGGUCUCGCUUGGGUGACUCCCAGCUUGUGAAGCUCAACGUUGACAGUAAUGAACAAGGCUCCUAUGUAGUGGCCAUGGAAACCUUUACCAACUUAGGACCCAUUGUGGAUAUGUGCGUGGUGGACCUGGAGAGGCAGGGGCAGGGGCAGCUGGUCACUUGCUCUGGGGCUUUCAAGGAAGGUUCCUUGCGGAUCAUCCGGAAUGGAAUUGGAAUCCACGAGCAUGCCAGCAUUGACUUACCAGGCAUCAAAGGAUUAUGGCCACUGCGGUCUGACCCUAAUCGUGAGACUGAUGACACUUUGGUCCUCUCUUUUGUGGGCCAGACAAGAGUUCUCAUGUUAAAUGGAGAGGAGGUAGAAGAAACCGAACUGAUGGGUUUCGUGGAUGAUCAGCAGACUUUCUUCUGUGGCAACGUGGCUCAUCAGCAGCUUAUCCAGCCACCUGGCAGUGGUAGAUUGGUAAAACCGGAGGGAAAGUUCUGUCAGUUUGCAGACCAAGUGUGGGACGUGCCCAGAUACUGAGUCAUUGCUUUGUCAGUGUUAUCUAACUAUUGGCCUGAAGACUGGCACCAGCUCACCUAUCUAUUAUUAAAGAGCUUUCAUCCUUACAUAUAAACUCAGUUAUGCUAGAUCACUUCAGCAUCGGUGAGGUUGGUCUCUCAAG
rnacentral:sRNA from 1 species